CGCCUUUUGAACUAUAAACAUAAAAGGUCCUGCCUGCCCAGUGACACUGUUUCAACGGCCGCGGUAUCAUGACCGUGCAAAGGUAGCGUAAUCACUUGUCUUUUAAAUAAAGACCAGUAUGAACGGCAAGACGAAAGCCUAACUGUCUCCCCAAGUCAAUCAAUGAAAUUGAUCUUCCCGUGCAGAAGCGGGAAUAACAAUAUAAGACGAGAAGACCCUGUGGAGCUUCAAACUUUAAGCUAACAGAUCAAAAUGCCUUAGCACACAGUUUUAGGUUGGGGCGACCAUGAGGUAAAACAAAACCCUCAAGACAAAAACUAAGAAGGACACUUCAAAUAAAUAACAAUAGCGUAAUUGACCCAAUAAUUGAUCAACGAACCAAGUUACCCCAGGGAUAACAGCGCAAUCUACUCAAAGAGCCCUUAUCGACGAGCAGGUUUACGACCUCGAUGUUGGAUCAGGACCCCCAAAUAAUGUAACAAUUAUUAAAGGUUCGUUUGUUCAACGAUUAAAGUCCU
rnacentral:rRNA from 1 species